AGUGAACGCUGGCGGUAGGCCUAACACAUGCAAGUCGAACGGCAGCACAGUAAGAGCUUGCUCUUACGGGUGGCGAGUGUCGGACGGGUGAGGAAUACAUCGGAAUCUACUUUUUCGUGGGGGAUAACGUAGGGAAACUUACGCUAAUACCGCAUACGACCUACGGGUGAAAGCAGGGGAUCUUCGGACCUUGCGCGAUUGAAUGAGCCGAUGUCGGAUUAGCUAGUUGGCGGGGUAAAGGCCCACCAAGGCGACGAUCCGUAGCUGGUCUGAGAGGAUGAUCAGCUACAAUGGCACUGAGACACGGUACAGACUCCUACGGGGGGAAGCAGCGGGGAAUAUUGGACAAUGGGGGAAAGCCUGAUCCAGCAAUACCGCGUGGGUGAAGAAGGCGUUCGGGUUGUAAAGCCAUUUUGUUGGGAAAGAAAAGCAGCAGGUUAAUACCCCGCUGUUCUGACGGUACCCAAAGAAUAAGCACCGGCUAACUUCGUG
rnacentral:rRNA from 1 species